rnacentral:lncRNA from 1 species
AACAUGCCAAGACGCAGGAGACUGUUCACCGGCCGAGCAUCGCUGGUCCCUCCGCCCGCCCGAACGGGCCCGUUUUAGGCGGGUGCCACCGGUCCGGAGCAGUGGGGACUAGUGGCUGCGGUUCGGUGCCAGCUGCACUGGGUCGGAGGUGGUUCUGGUCUGCAAUUCAUGACGUGAAUUCAUGCAACAUGCUGUUUACAGUCAUAACGCUUUUUCUUUACUUUUAUUUCUUCCAGGGGGUCAAAAACCCACCAUCAACAUCAAGGCUGAACAUCUCUCCAGCAUGGGUGUGAAAUCUUCAGGCUGUGACCCACCGCUUCAGUCAGAGGUCUGUUUUACUCGUCAGUCCGCCUCAUGCACAAACCAGCUUCUUUAUCGGGGCGUGAUGGAAACGUCAGCCGCCGUGAAACACUUGUGGUCUCCGGACGGAGCUACCAUGCCAUUUAAGGGGUUUGUGCCCGGACAUCUUGACCUUUAUGUGAAUGACCUUGUCACUUUUCAGUUUGUGACCUCUGCUAAUACGGUGGCCAAUUCUUUUCUCCUUUCACAGGGGUGUGACUUAGUCUCGGGCCUCUGUGCUCUCUUUCCUGUGAUUUCUCUUACAGGUGACCACGACGACACAGAAAACCCUGCGGUUUCCAGCAGUCCUGUGGUCAGUGGCGAUAUUAAAGGUGGCUCGGUGGUUGCUGCGCACACCUCUCUCACGGGCUCGGGAAGGCAACCCGGCCCGGGAGGUGUAGGUGCGUGCAGUGAUGCUCUGCUCGGGGCCCCUCCUGACAAAGGGGGGGUGCUGAGUGGCUCUGAGUUUUCCGUUGCGGACUUCAACCGGUUCGGGGGAACGCCUCCUCCGAGCGGGCGGGUCAUUGCAGAAAUCGACACUGACCUUCCACCAAUUCAGCUGACAACAUUGACCUCCGACCCGGAGUUAGGUGCUGCACCUUCUACGGGGCGGAGUUCUAGUCAGUCUGUAAAUACUCUGGUUAAACCGGGUUUUUCUGAUUCAGUGUGGGAACCUCCAUCAUUCUUGGGAAUAAAGUAUUCUUGGCUUCAGUUUUCAGGACAGACCAUGUUCCUAAAGCUAGCGUCAUGUCUGUAUCUGAUUCUAAACAUGGCUAGGUUUGCUUUGACACCCGUGACACAACCAUCCUUGGAUCACUCCUUUUCAGAACCUCCAAGUCCAACACCUCCAGGUCUUUGGACAUCUGAACACCUACUCUUUCAGCACGAUUCAGACACGGCAUAA